rnacentral:rRNA from 1 species
GACAGAGGAUGCAAGCGUUAUCCGGAAUGAUUGGGCGUAAAGCGUCUGUAGGUGGCUUUUAAGUCUGCCGUCAAAUCCCAGGGCUUAACCCUGGACAGGCGGUGGAAACUACCAAGCUGGAGUACGGUAGGGCAGAGGGAAUUCCGGUGGAGCGGUGAAAUGCGUAGAGAUCGGAAAGAACACCAACGGCGAAAGCACUCUGCUGGGCCGACACUGACACUGAGAGACGAAAGCUAGGGAGCGAAUGGG